rnacentral:lncRNA from 1 species
UUUGAAGAAAACAAAAACUAAAAAGCAGGAGUUGAAUGAUAAGCAUUCGAAACACAUAGCUAAAUAUCAUUAUUAAAAAAAAAAAAGUAAUAAUAAAAUAUCAAAACAUGUCGUUUCAUGGAAAUAUGGUAUCAAAUCCAUCGCAAUAGCUUAUUUCAUUUUAAAAGCACGCAGCAGAAAAAUAUGCAAAACAUGGCAAAAGGUGCGAUCACUAACAUUACAUUAUUAAAGGAAAACGGUGCGAGCUGGCGCAUCUUCAAAGGUGAAGACUUUUGAGUUGUGAUAGACCUAAAAUCUAAGCCAUGCAAAUGGAAGUAUCAGCCCAAAUUACAAGAAAGCCUUUAGCAGAUCAGCAAUUAGCGAAGCCUUUAUUCUUCUUUUUUUUGGGGUAUCUACAGAGUAUUAAAACACGAAAAGAAAAGAGUAUGAUAGCAGAUGCAGAGUGUGUAAAAGAAGCGUGUGAAUAGUGAAUAGUAAUCGGCAUAACGCAGAGCUACACAGACACCUGCCUGCUGAAGGGUUACUUGUGGAUCUAAACAAAGCCUAAUAAUAAAAGAGUGUGUUGAAACGUGUUUAGAUUGCCUGGUGGUACUAAUAUCAAAAUGAGGAUCCAUGCAACUCGUACAUUUUGCGUGUGGGAAACGUAUGUCUGUAUAUGCCUGACUAAGUACACUGCCAAAUAGGAUGAGAAUGAAAUGGCCGUAAUAUACCAAGAAAAUCAGAGAUUGCAACCAGGUGUAGCUAUAUAAAAUAUCAUUAAUGUUUUAGUUUUAUCCCCAAUUGCGAACAAAUGAUUUACAGAUGGGUCAAGGAUGAAGAAACAUGCUAACUUAUUUAUGUACCAAAUGGAUGGUGAACUAGAGGUGCGAACCUAGGCACCAUUAGAUUAUUAGCAAUUGGUUUAAGGUGUUCAACUUGUUAUUCAAUAAGAAUUUUAAUUAGUUUUCUUGUAUAUAGUUUAUAAUGGAAUAGAUUCACUGUUACAAGCAAGAUUCCAUCUUAUUUAGAAGCUUUAUAGAAAAAGACUUCAAAUAUAAAGGAGGAGACUUCCUUUCAAUUUUCCUUUUUUUAAUACAAAUAAAAUUGAGUGUGAAAGUUGUG